rnacentral:rRNA from 1 species
GACGAACCGAGCGAACGUUAUUCGGAAUCACUGGGCUUAAAGGGCGCGUAGGCGGGCGGCCAAGUCAGGGGUGAAAGCCCCCAGCUCAACUGGGGAAGUGCCUCUGAUACUGGUCAUCUCGAGGGAGAUAGGGGCGUGCGGAACUUCCGGUGGAGCGGUGAAAUGCGUAGAUAUGACAUAGAACACCAAUUGCGAAGGCAGCUCGUUACACGAAUAUUGACUCUGAGGCUCGAAAGCGUGGGGAUCAAACAGG